rnacentral:rRNA from 1 species
GACGAACGCUGGCGGCGUGCUUAACACAUGCAAGUCGAACGGAAAGGCCCUGCUUUUGUGGGGUGCUCGAGUGGCGAACGGGUGAGUAACACGUGAGUAACCUGCCCUUGACUUUGGGAUAACUUCAGGAAACUGGGGCUAAUACCGGAUAGGAGCUCCUGCUGCAUGGUGGGGGUUGGAAAGUUUCGGCGGUCGGGGAUGGACGCGCGGCUUAUCAGCUUGUUGGUGGGGUAGUGGCUUACCAAGGCUUUGACGGGUAGCCGGCCUGAGAGGGUGACCGGCCACAUUGGGACUAAGAUAGGGCCCAGACUCCUACGGGAGGCAGCAGUGGGGAAUAUUGCACAAUGGGCGGAAGCCUGAUGCAGCAACGCCGCGUGCGGGAUGACGGCCUUCAGGUUGUAAACCGCUUUCGCCUGUGACGAAGCGUGAGUGACGGUAAUGGGUAAAGAAGCACCGGCUAACUACGUG